CGUGAGCAAUCUGCCUUGGAGUGGGGAAUAACGGUUGGAAACAGCCGCUAAUACCGCAUGAUACAGCUAUCCCACAUGGGGUUGGCUGUCAAAGAUUUAUCGCUCUGAGAUGAGCUCGCGUCUGAUUAGCUUGUUGGCGGGGUAACGGCCCACCAAGGCGACGAUCAGUAGCCGGACUGAGAGGUUGGCCGGCCACAUUGGGACUGAGACACGGCCCAGACUCCUACGGAAGGCAGCAG
rnacentral:rRNA from 1 species